CUUCCUGGGCUGCUUUCAGAAACAGAGAGAGGGGAGCUUAACAAAUGUUUCCAUGUUUGCUUUUGAAUGAAGCAAGGACAGAUGACAUGCCGUGAAGAAUGACAGUUACACAGCAAAAUAUCAGCCCAGAACAUGAAAUCCUUCCUUAAUGAAGUUAUUAGCUCAUUGAUAAUUAAGGAUCUUCUUCCAUGUCAUCGGGAUUGGGAACCAUAAUGAAGUGCUUUGGAUAUACAAGGUUGUGUGGGAUGCUCCUGUUGUAUGAUUUGAUGGAUCUCAGAAUUCAGGUAUUUGUGUAGCACUGGGUCUAGAGAGAGGCUGACAUUCAGUGAAGUACCAGGUUCAAAUAAUUAGAAGACUUUAAUUCAGGUCAGUGCUUUUCAAACUUUAGUGUGUAUACUAAAAUACCUGGGGAUUUUGUGAAAAUGCACAUACUACUUCACUAGCCAUGGGGCAGGAGGUGCUGCGAUGCUGCAUUGUUAAUAAGCUCCCUGGUGAUGUCAAUGAGCUCAGCCAGUGGACCACACUGGAAUCGUACGUACUCCCAGGUGAGGAGGAUGCUGCUGGCCCACGAACCACACUUGGGAGUAACAGGUCCUUGGGCUAUAUCUGCAUGAUUCUGAAAUGACCUUCUGAAAAAUUUCACUCCACAGCCUUAAACAAGGGAUUAAAGACAAUUCUUUGUGGGCUAAAAAAAUAAGAUGCCGAGCAUCAAACAUGGUCUCUAAUCCCAUCUCUAUUCCUUCCUAACCAUGUUACCUCAAAAUUUUUCAUCUUAGCGUUCCGAUCUAUAAAGUGGAAUAAUAACCUUUAUCUCAAUUAGGAAGGCUCACGGGGCACGAGAAUUCAAUAGGCGAUGCUGGCACUGCGAUAGCACGCAGGUAGUGCUUAACACGGGCUAACUCGCCUUCUACUGACACAGCAGCUCCGGAAGUCAAGACGUCUCAGGAAUUGUAGGUUUCUUUUCCUCUUCACACAGAGGAAGAAGUUAAGCUGUAUAGGAAAUACAGUACCUUUCACUUCCUUUCUUCAGGGCCAUGAAACCCCCAGGUGUGUCUGGGUACAGACUCAGUGGGAAGAAAAGAGUAAAAGCGAGAAGCUCUCGGAGGGCGCUGACUCACACUCCUCAGGGAAAAGCAGUCGAACUGUGAAGCUUUGCAGGGAAGAUGCUAAGGCCAGUUUGGGGGAAACGUGAAGUGAAAAAGACAAGAGAAAGACACAGGAACUUCCCCUACUAUUUACCACCUUACAAUGCAAGCCUUCUCUCUUCAUUCUCUGCUUUCAGUACUGAGCGUCGAGUCCUGCUAGUCUAAUAUUUAGACACAUUUUGCUUUGAUAAUUAGGAUGAAGGGAAUAGGACAACUUCAUAUUUGGGGCUCCUGGAAGAUCAGAUGUGAAUACAGAUAUUAGAUCUGGAUCCGUGUGUACCGUGGGUCCCAUGGAGCAACCUCCAUAGUCAUUUCUCAGGCUCCUAAAUCAGGAGCUUCAAAGGUAACUCCUGGGGUGAUUUUUAGUGACUUUCCAUCAGUGUGGGUGUAGUUGGCAUUGUCAAUUUUCCACUGGCUUCUUUGUAUAGUCUUCUGGUUUCCAGGUAUCCACUGGACUUGAGCUGACCCUAGACUGAUCACAUGGCAUCUUUGGGGGACCUGAAUCAACAGCUUCCAGCUCAGAACAGUGAUUCCACCUCCCUUGGAACAGUCAUAUCUGCUGAGAAGUUUAAGGAAGGAACCUUGAGAAAGCAUCAGAGGUGGCUUUGGAGGUGGAAUCUGAAGAAACUAGAGGAGAGAAGAAAGGAAGAAUGGAUUACAAAAGAUGAGCAAGAUGCCUGGAAUUUCACACGUGCAUCAUCUCUUUGGGUCACAGAGAAAGCCAUGCUUGAUUAACACUGGGGAUUUGCGUGUGGCCUAUGGCUGGUGUCCAAUGACUUCUCCCAUUUUCAGAACACUUCUGUAAUGUUUCCGUCAGUGGUGAAUAUAUGACAUCCAAGGAAAGGUGAGGCCCUGACACUAAGAGGAAUACAAUGACCAGUCCAAGAGGACAACCCAGAACUGGACUUCUGGGGCCUGACUGAACCGGAUUGAGGUAUCGGACACGCUUUUACAGAGGCUAUUUAGGAGGUAGAUUUUAUGAGCCUCAUUUUGCCAAUGAUAACACUAGGGCACAGAGAGGUUCAGCAACCCGCCCAAGGCCACACAGCCAGGAAGGAGCAGGAUCUGACCCCAGGCUGCCUGACUCCGGAGCCCAUGCUUGCAAACAUUCCACUGAACCAGGUCGUAAUCCCUGCUGAAUGAUUUCAGCUCUCCUGCUGUCUUCCCCCACCUCACUGUCUCGCGAUGGACGUUCACAUUUCCCGGCUGGCCCAGAAGCUGCGAUAGGGUGUUAUGAGCUGUUAGGUUAAGAGGGGUGAAGCCCUGUGAAAAGAAAACAUACUUGCUCCCCUUCCUCAGCUGCACUGGUCUUUCCUCCAGCUGAUCUUUCUCCUGUUAUAUAAAUGGAAUGUUAUACAAAUGUUUCCACCAUGAGUUUCCUUUCAAAAGAUGAA